rnacentral:lncRNA from 1 species
UAAACUUUCUCAUCAUCCUUUCGAGUUUUCUUCCUUGAUUUUUCUUGUUGACGAUUCUUUAGAUCUGGACUCCCAACGAGAUCACUCUCUGGGAAGCAGUCUUGACAGUGGCACAGUUUCCACUUCUGGUUCUUCACGCUUACGUCCAAGACAGGAACUGGAAAUAUUUGUCAAUACCACUGAGAGAGUCGGACGCUAUCGAAAGCUCGGACAUGAACAACUUACAUGAGCUCGCCAACGUUUCUCGGAGCUCCAAGUUCGCGGCCAUGAGGUGAGUCUCGGACGCAUCCCUUGUUGUAAGGCUAUGGCAAAUCACUUCUUGUUGUAAGUAGGACCUGGAGAGGCAUUAUGAUGAGUCUUAUGGCAGAUAUAUCGAAGGCUCCGAGUCGUCAGCUGCGAAGGCAGCGGUCUUGCAUUUCACUGAUGGCAGCGCGGAUGUUUUCGGUAAGAGAGUUGGUUGCCACUCGGCCUCAUAAUUUUCGUUUGUUCUUUUCGAGCCGAGCAGAAGACG